AGUGAACGCUGGCGGUAGGCCUAACACAUGCAAGUCGAACGGCAGCACAGUAAGAGCUUGCUCUUACGGGUGGCGAGUGGCGGACGGGUGAGGAAUACAUCGGAAUCUACUUUUUCGUGGGGGAUAACGUAGGGAAACUUACGCUAAUACCGCAUACGACCUACGGGUGAAAGCAGUGGAUCUUCGGACCUUGCGCGAUUGAUUGAGCCGAUGUCGGAUUAGCUAGUUGGCGGGGUAAAGUCCCACCAAGGCGACGAUCCGUAGCUGGUCUGAGAGGAUGAUCAGCCACACUGGAACUGAGACACGGUCCAGACUCCUACGGGAGGCAGCAGUGGGGAAUAUUGGACAAUGGGCGCAAGCCUGAUCCAGCCAUACCGCGUGGGUGAAGAAGGCCUUCGGGUUGUAAAGCCCUUUUGUUGGGAAAGAAAAGCAGCAGGUUAAUACCCCGCUGUUCUGACGGUACCCAAAGAAUAAGCACCGGCUAACUUCGUG
rnacentral:rRNA from 1 species